rnacentral:pre_miRNA from 1 species
GAGACACCCUUCUGGGGCAAGACUUGCUUCAGUGGGGCUUUGGUGCUCACUGAGUCUGCUCUCUGAGUGUGUCCCU